rnacentral:lncRNA from 13 species
GACGCUGACAGAAAUCCCCACUCUCCUGGCCGCUCCGCCUCUCUCCGCUCCAGCAGCAACAAUUCACUCUGCACACCAAGUUAGACAGCUGCACUGCCAAGCACCAAGUGUCCCGGGCCUGCUGGUCUCCGCUGGCACCGGAACAGUGGACACUGCUGAGGGCUGGGACGCGGAUUCGAGCGUCUCCUGGAGCUGGGACCCCGUUCACUGUCACAUGGGGACUUCAGCAGUUGGACCGCCUCGCCUCCGCCUCCCUCUGGCCCUGGGGCCUGCGCAGGCGCGAAGCGCCCCCUCACGUCCCGCCCCUUUCUUUCUGCCGCGUGGCACCACGGGAAUUGUAGUUCUGUGCUACGGAAUCAACCUGAGCUCCGCCCUGACCCUGAGCCCUGCGGGAUGGAGGAACUACUAAUCCUAGCAUGCAUAGCGCGGCGACGGACCGACUUUUUAUUUUUUUCUUAGUACCGGGAAAACAGGAGCGUCUGAUUGGGGUUUGCAGUGUUUUCUCUCUGUUUCUCUCGGGAAGUCGGGCUGUGUGUAUAACUCCUUAGAUUUGGUAGAAUUGGUAUUCAGAGAAGUCACUCGACUCCUGAGGCGAAGCAUAAAAGGAUGGGAGUGGUGUGGGAAUCUCGCCCUGUCGCCCAGGAUGGAGUGCAGUGCAGUGGCGCAAUUCUACAACCUCCGAUCACUACAACCUCCCCCGUCUGGGGUUCAAGAGAUUCUCCUGCCUCAGCCUUCCGAGUAGCUGGGAUUACAGGCGUGCGCCAACUUGCCCAGACGAUCCUUUUAAACGCAAAAUGCCAUCGACGCAGAAAUUCAAAGGUAUCCAUUGCGUCUGUGCACUUGAGUUCUAGGAUAUGGCAAAGAAAAACAAUUUAAAUACUACAUAAAUUCAGUAGGAACAAGAUGCUGACUGAUAAGUACUCUGUGUAUCUCCUUAAGCUGCGCUUUCCAGUAGGCUGUUCUCUAGCCAUAUGUGGCUACUCAGGACUUGAAAUGUGGUUGACACGGAAAAAUGGAAUCAUUAAUUGAAUUUGAAUUAAACUAAAAACAAAACAAAACCCUGAUGCCUCAUUCAAUUGUUGGAACACUUUUAAGUAUGUUUGCAACAAGAUAUAUGAAUCUGUUUUUCAAACUUAAAUUUUAUGAACUCUAACUUUAGCAUGUGAAUUGAGAUGUGCUGUAAGUAUAUAUCAGCUGGAUUUUUCUUUCUGGACUUAGUACAAGAAAUUUUCAAAAAGAAUAUUGAAUUGCACAUUAAAAAUUUUAUAUAUGUUUAAAUAUUUUGGAUAUAAUGGGUUAAAAAAAUUAAAAUAAAUUGUACCUGUUGCAUUAGAUAACGCUGGCU